rnacentral:lncRNA from 1 species
CAAACAUUGAGUUUUUUAGCUUAUUAACUCUCAGAGCACCCAGUACAUCUUAUUUAGAAUUGCAGGAACCCAUUUUUGUUUCUCUACAGCAGUCGAAGCUUGUUUCAUAGAUCUUGCAAGACUAUUGAAUCAUUCAGUUAAAAUUCCUUGACCUCCUGCUGGAUGAUGUUCGACAGGGCAUUCAUCUUCACGACACCCUUCGCGAUGAAUGGUAACAUCUGGGCGGGUAGAGGUCCAUUUCUACAGCAACCUGGGCGAAGGGCAUAUACCGGAGCCCCGACCGCUCAUGCCCAGUAAUGCUUUCUCUGGGUUCUAACUACGUGAUCAGGUCGUCUCGGUUUGCCAGGGAAAGCCCAGCGUCUUGACAACCCUGUCAGUUCCGAACAAACCGGGUCGAUUGGUCACCGGGGCUCGAAUCCCGACUGAUAUGACCCAGCGGGGACAGAGGAUAACCCUCAGUGCCACAAGUACAUUUCCC